AUUGAACGCUGGCGGAAUGCUUUACACAUGCAAGUCGAACGGCAGCACGGACUUCGGUCUGGUGGCGAGUGGCGAACGGGUGAGUAAUACAUCGGAACGUGCCCAAUCGUGGGGGAUAACGCAGCGAAAGCUACGCUAAUACCGCAUACGAUCUAAGGAUGAAAGCGGGGGAUCGCAAGACCUCGCGCGAAUGGAGCGGCCGAUGGCAGAUUAGGUAGUUGGUAGGGUAAAGGCCUACCAAGCCGACGAUCUGUAGCUGGUCUGAGAGGAUGAUCAGCCACACUGGGACUGAGACACGGCCCAGACUCCUACGGGAGGCAGCAGUGGGGAAUUUUGGACAAUGGACGCAAGUCUGAUCCAGCCAUUCCGCGUGCAGGAUGAAGGCCCUCGGGUUGUAAACUGCUUUUGUACAGAACGAAAAGGCUCUGGUUAAUACCUGGGGCUCAUGACGGUACUGUAAGAAUAAGCACCGGCUAACUACGUGCCAGCCGCCGCGGUAAAAC
rnacentral:rRNA from 1 species